UUGUUAAAUGGGGGUUGUUCUUGGUGACUGGAAGAGAUAGGUAAACCCUUGCCCUGAUAAGUUGAUCUCUUAGUUGCCGCACUAGAGCAUCUGGAAUAGGUGUUUGAGUUGUCUGUUUAUCAGUUUUAGACCUUGACAAGCUCCUUCUCAUUGAUCUUUCCAGAAGUUAGAGCAGAUUGCUGCUCAAGCACAUUUUGAGAGGCAGUGUCAGAUACUCCAUCGGAUGCCCUUUGUUUGGGAUCCUUUUCCUUAGCAACCCCGGCAUCUUUCCCGAUUUCCUUUUGAUUAGUAGUGUCAGUAACCUGUCUGAUGGCAUUAUCAGUUCGAGAUUGAUGUCCUUCGUUGGUGGCAGAUAAUACUCUAGCAGAUUUAUGCUC
rnacentral:misc_RNA from 1 species